GACGAACGCUGGCGGCGUGCCUAAUACAUGCAAGUCGAGCGGAGCUUAUCCUUCGGGGUAAGCUUAGCGGCGGACGGGUGAGUAACACGUAGGCAACCUGCCCCUUAGCCUGGGAUAACUACCGGAAACGGUAGCUAAUACCGGAUAAUUUCUUUUUUCUCCUGAAGAGAGAAUGAAAGGCGGAGCAAUCUGCCAUUAAGGGAUGGGCCUGCGGCGCAUUAGCUAGUUGGUGGGGUGACGGCUCACCAAGGCGACGAUGCGUAGCCGACCUGAGAGGGGGACCGGCCACACUGGAACUGAGACACGGCCCAGGCUCCUACGGGAGGCAGAAGUAGGGAAUCUUCCGCAAUGGGCGAAAGCCUGACGGAGCAACGCCGCGUGAGUGAUGAAGGUUUUCGGAUCGUAAAGCUCUGUUGCCAGGGAAGAACGUCCGGUAGAGUAACUGCUACCGGAGUGACGGUACCUGAGAAGAAAGCCCCGGCUAACUACGUGCCAGCAGCCGCCGUAA
rnacentral:rRNA from 1 species